rnacentral:tRNA from 1 species
CAAGAUGUAGCGCAGUUUGGUAGCGUACCUAUUUUGGACAUAGGGGGUCGCAGGUUCGAGUCCUGUCAUCUUGA